rnacentral:rRNA from 1 species
GACGAACGCUGGCGGCGUGCUUAACACAUGCAAGUCGAACGGAAAGGCCCUGCUUGCAGGGUACUCGAGUGGCGAACGGGUGAGUAACACGUGGGUGAUCUGCCCUGCACUUCGGGAUAAGCCUGGGAAACUGGGUCUAAUACCGGAUAGGAGCCAUUUUUAGUGUGAUGGUUGGAAAGUUUUUUCGGUGUAGGAUGAGCUCGCGGCCUAUCAGCUUGUUGGUGGGGUAAUGGCCUACCAAGGCGGCGACGGGUAGCCGGCCUGAGAGGGUGGACGGCCACAUUGGGACUGAGAUACGGCCCAGACGCCUACGGGAGGCAGCAGUGGGGAAUAUUGAACAAUGGGCGCAAGCCUGAUGCAGCGACGCCGCGGGGGGGAUGACGGCCUUCGGGUUGUAAACUCCUUUCGCUAGGGACGAAGCUUUUUGUGACGGUACCUAGAGAAGAAGCACCGGCUAACUACGUG